CCUACGGGUGGCAGCAGUCGAGAAUCAUUCACAAUGGGGGAAACCCUGAUGGUGCGACGCCGCGUGGGGGAAUGAAGGUCUUCGGAUUGUAAACCCCUGUCAUGUGGGAGCAAAUUAAAAAGAUAGUACCACAAGAGGAAGAGACGGCUAACUCUGUGCCAGCAGCCGCGGUAAUACAGAGGUCUCAAGCGUUGUUCGGAAUCACUGGGCGUAAGGCGUGCGUAGGCUGUUUCGUAAGUCGUGUGUGAAAGGCGCGGGCUCAACCCGCGGACGGCACAUGAUACUGCGAGACUAGAGUAAUGGAGGGGGAACCGGAAUUCUCGGUGUAGCAGUGAAAUGCGUAGAUAUCGAGAGGAACACUCGUGGCGAAGGCGGGUUCCUGGACAUUAACUGACGCUGAGGCACGAAGGCCAGGGGAGCGAAAGGGAUUAGAUACCUGGGUAGUC
rnacentral:rRNA from 1 species